rnacentral:lncRNA from 1 species
AUGACCCCAGCUGCUGUGCACAGAGAGCCUCCCACCUUCCCAAAGCUGGAUUCCUCUAUUUGGCAUCCAGGAGCCUUUUCGCAAGGAAACAAAAGCUUCCUUCCUGUCCUUUUCCUUGUGGCAGAAAAUAGACCAGCUGAGAGACUGCCCAGAGAUGGCAGAGAGUACCAGCG